rnacentral:lncRNA from 1 species
ACGUGAAGACCGAUUGCGGAGCAAAUAAGGUAACGGUGACCGGAAAAGUGGAGCCGGCGAAGUUGAAGGAGAGAUUGGAAGCGAAGACGAAGAAGAAAGUGGACCUCGUCUCUCCUCAGCCGAAGAAGGACGCCGGCGGUGGGGAGAAAAAAUCGGAAGAGAAAUCGGAGAAGAAGCCGGACGACAAGAAAUCCGAAGAGAAGAAGCCGCCGAAAGAGGUAAUAGUUCCAUCGUGACAAAUGACGUAGGCUUAUUUUUUUCAUUAAUUAAAUUUGAUUUAAUUUUGACUUUUUUAAUCAAGAAUGGUUAAUUACGAGAUUGACUUCUGACUUGUUUGGUUCUAUUGUAAAUAAAAUAUCAACUAAUUUUUCAUUAUUUUUAACUAAUUAUGAUUAAUACUUGUGUGUUACAGAGCACCGUCGUUUUGAAGAUCAGGUUACACUGUGAAGGCUGCAUUAGCAAAAUUAAGAAAAUAAUUUACAAGACCAAAGGUCAGUUAAUUAAAUAAUAAUAAUAUUAAUAAUUUCGGUGGCAAAUUAGUAAAAUAAUUAACUGACGGUGAUCUGACGAGGCAAAACUGCCAGGUGUUGACAAUGUGACCAUAGACGGUGGCAAAGAUCUAGUGACCGUGAAAGGCACGAUGGAUGUGAAGGAGCUGGUUCCUUAUUUGAAAGUGAAGCUGAAACGAAACGUUGAGGUUGUUCCCGCCAAGAAAGACGAUGGCGAGAAGAAAGAGAACAAAGAUGCCGACAAAGGCGGAGACAAGAAGGCAAAAGAAGCCGCCCCGGCCACCGACAAAGGCGGAGAAAAGAAGGAAAAAGAGGCAGCUGCAGCCGGUGGCGGUGACGGUGGCAAGGUGGAGGUGCACAAGAUGGAGUACUAUGGAUACCCGUACCCUCCAGCACCUAGUUAUUGGUACGAUAACCACGUGUACGGCCAGAGUUAUCCGAUGGAGAAUCAACAUCAGGUGGUCUACGCGAACCAAGGAUACCCGCCUCAGAUGCACCACGCGCCUCCGAUGUACCACGCGCCCCAGAUGUUCAGUGAUGAGAAUCCCAACGCGUGUUCUGUUAUGUGAUUGACUCAACGGUGUGGAUGAAUCGUGAAUUAUGAUGAUGACGGAGGGACUUUAGAACAAAGAGGCCAAAAAUGUAAAUAAAUGCAAGUAUUAGGGAGA